rnacentral:tRNA from 1 species
GCGAGGCGUAACGGAUAAGGCGUCUGAAUUUGAAUCAGAGGACUACAGAUUCGAAUCCUGUCGC